rnacentral:tRNA from 1 species
GGAGAAAUGGCAGAGUGGUCGAAUGCGGCGGUCUUGAAAACCGUUGAGGGGUCACACCCUCCGGGGGUUCGAAUCCCUCUUUCUCCG